UAUACAUCUUUCAAUAAUGUAGCCGACACCAUUUCACGAACAACAUGAAGCUUGAAUGUUAUUCUAAGUAGAGUAAAUUUGCUUAAGUUAUCGCCAUGUUUGAUGCCGAGUAAGUAUGUGACUGGACACUGGUUACAUUGGGAUUUUAUAAGCUGCUGUAUGUAUUCUUGAAUCUAUAUACUUAUUUCCAUAAAUGACUUGGCUGCAGAGUGUUUAAAGCUGCUAUUCGCAGUACGGCUCAUAUUCUGGACUCUGUUUUUGUGUUUGAAUGUUGUAAAGGGUGAACUUUGAAUAGCACACACUAAUUCCUUAAAUUGGUGAAGGGGCUUUUAUGUGAUGCCUGCCUUGAAAAGCGGAAUCUUGCGAGUUGCUCAGAUUUUUCCACCAAAGUGCUCUCAUCUCUUCAUCGAUUUGACAGCAACCAUACAUUUCCUAAGUAGAGCAAAUAAAAAGAUCUCAUCAUGCAUGACUCUCGUGCCACGCCGGGCUCACACGAUCAACCAUCACAGAGGGAUUUCCGCGACCAUGCAAAGGAGUUUGGAGCCAGUUUACUGGACCUCUGCCUGUUGUUCAUUCAACUGGGUCAGAGAAGGCGCGAGAGCUCACAAAAGCAACUUCAUAAUGCUCUCAUUUGGCACCUCUGCACAGAGAGGAAAUGCAAACAGACAGCCAUCUGAAAAACAGAGCUUUGCUAUCUGGCACCGCCGUAGUUAUUCCCUUUGUCGCCCCACAGAAAAACCGCUACACUCGCAUACAGAGAAUAUUGUUUGCUUGAAGGAAUUCAGAUGAUGCAUAAAUGAAAGUCUGGCUCUCUGAUGUUUUAACAAUACUGCAACAGACAUUUUAAAGCAACCGGUGACCUUUUGGAAGGUAUUGGAAGUAAUGAUUAGAACAGUAGUGUGUGAGAGGAAAUGCAAGGGGACAUAUCUCCAUGGACUGUUGUCUCAAUUAUGUCUGAACAAAAGCAGGCAUUAUAUCCAGGUAUCUACUGCAAAUCUACAUGAUCACAUUAAAAGAAGCAGUGGGACUCCUCAACGUCUAUUGUGCCGUUGUGUUUUUAAAAGUGCAACGUCGUACACGUCCGAUACAGAACUACAGAAAAGCUUCAGGGAAAAGAGAGACAAUAUAUAUUUUCAAAUACGGGUAAUGUGAAAAUGUCCUCCAUAAGUGCCUCGGCCCACAAGUCCCCACUGAAUGUAACGUAAUCUCACAAUCAAUUUUCUAGGCAUGGUAUUGUGGGUUCACAGUUUGCAGCGUAAAUGUUAGCUGACAGGAGCAUUUUUAUUCAAUUGGCAAUUAAAAUUAAUUCAUGAAUAUAAAAUAUAUCUCCCUUUUUUUUCUUCUUUUUGUGUUCUUGUCUCAAUCUAUUCAUGUUAAAGUAUGAAAAGAAAUAGUCUGCUCUAUCAAAUAAACAAUAGACAUAAUAACACAAAUCCUACAGGGCCUAUUCAUGUCCAUCCCGAUCAAUUUAGUAAUUUCCCUUGAUUUUUAGACUACGAAGAAGAAGAUAAAAUUACGUCUUGCAUGCGACGGCUCGGUGGAGCGGCGGUCGCAGCAAUGAAAUGCUUGAAAAAAUCAACAUGUUAUGAGUCUGUUUCAGAUCACGCCCUGUGUUCCAACUUACUGCUCCGCCACACAAAAUGAAGAAAUGCAUUUGGAUUGAAGUAGCUGUAAAAAAAGAAAAAAGAAAAAAGGAAAAGGUCUAGUUUCAUCCUGAUUCAGACGCUUUGAUGUAUUGUCUGUCAAGCUCCGCUCUUUCUGUAAGUAGAUGUGAGGCAAUAAUGUGCUCAUCUAGAGGAGGUUGUUUUGACUGAAAUCCAGUUAGCUUUUCACCCGGACCUCAGUAAUGACUUACUUGACUAUUGAUCCGAUGUCCUAUUCUGUACCUAAACUUAGGCAAUCAAUGUAUUUUUUUUCCUUUUAAAUUUGAAUUUAAAAAGUCAAAAAAGCAGACUUGCAAGUUUGGAUCCGAUAUAGUUGCCGUCGUCAUCAAUAUUUCAUAUUGCAGGAAACCUGAAUACAGACACCAUGAAGCUAGAUGUACUUUCUCUACUGUCUCCUAGAAAUAAGACUCACUUCGUUGCCUUUGAAUGAAUAUUCUAGCAACAAUGUUCUUGUGCCUUUACGCCAACGACUGCUCCUCAGAGAACCCGACUGUCAAACUCCUGAAGUUCACAGACGACACAACGUCCAUCGGCCUCAUCAGGGACGGAGAUGAGUAGACGUGCACACCUGAUAUUAACCAGCUGGUCCUCUAGCGUGGUGAAUCUCAGAACUGUGAAGGUUACAGUGGACUUCAGGAGGAGCUCUCCAACACUGCCCCCCUUCACCAUACUCUACACAUUGUGUCUUCUGUGGAGACCUUCAUGUCUCUGGGAUCCCAAAUCUCUCACCUGAAGUGGGCCUCCAACAUUGACCCAUUCAGGAAGAAGGUCCAGGACAGGUUGAACUUCCUGCGCCAGCUCCUGGUCUUCUUGUUCUACUCCGCCAUCAUCCAGUCUGCUCUCUGUUCUUCCAUCACUGUGUGGUUUGGAUCGGCCACGAAACAGGACAGCAACAGACUGCAGUGGCCUAAACCUCCAUCCUGGACUCGUACACCUCCAGUCAAGAAACAGGAAGGAACGAUCACUGCAGACCCUUUACACCCUGGACACAACUUGUAUAUUUACUAGAGUUGUUAAAUGUGUCUAUAUUUGAAUCCAUUGUACUGUUUAUGUUGUCUUCUACUUUUUAAUUUUCUUGUCGAUUUAUAUUUAUGUGCAAACCGCAGUUAAACUCCGGGUAUGUGUAAGCAUACGUGGCCAAAAAGCUAAUUCUCUUUCUCACUUUAACAUGAGACUAACCUUAACAGCUUUUCUUACAUAACUACCACACACUUGCCCUUUUCUCAUCCUUUUUUUUUUUUUUGCAAUCUUGAGCAUGCAACCCGUCUAUUGGGUUGCAUGCUCUUUCCUUUCUGGCUGUCCCCUCUCUCCUAUUUUCUUCUCUCUGUUUACUGAGAGAUAUUUAUGACACUGACUUUUUGGUAGUAAGCUGAAAGUUAAAUACACCAUGUUCGCUAUUGAUCGUGUGCAAGGCAAUUCAACUUCUUCAUUAAUAUGAGAAGAAGGCUUAGAAAACCGUUUCACUUGCACCUGCAAGACACAUCCGCCUCUGUCACGCAGUGUGAUUGCCUAUACAGAAGGUAAAUUCAUUUUAAUUUUAUAUGUUUUAUAUGUUAUGUAUUAUGUUUAACUAUUUAAUAGUAUUUAUCUACUAUUUAUCUGUUUUAGACGCAUCACAAAUAUAAUUUAUAUCACAGUCUGCGUAAAACUACCUCCCAAAUCUGAGAUGCAGUAAAUUGAGAAAGCAGUUUGGUUGUACGGAAACAUGAUUUUUUUAGGAGACAGGGUUGAAUUUGGUCUUCCAGAUUGAAUGUGGUCAGCUGGCUGGGGAUUGGCUGUAAAAAACCCCGGCGCUGUCUGCUGUGACGGUCAUGCUUAGUUUGGUCAGGAAACUGCAAUCCAAUUCCCCUCCAUGUAGCACGUCUGUUGGACGGCUCGGAUGGAACGCGACGAAGAGCGAAUUGGGGGUUGGGGCAGUUUUUACAAAAAGGAUGAUGCUGGGCCAUCUCGGCACCGCGAGUACAAUAAUGUGAAUCACUGGAGCCUGGCAGCUUUUACACCAGCACAAUCAGCCGCUGGUUGAGGAAGUGGGGCCCGUUGACUAUGGAAAUGAGCUAUCGACGUCCUCUGUCAUCUCUGAAUACAUGCUGCCGAUGAAGAGCUCCGGAUCCGUCAUGGCGCUGUCGUUGUUCCCACAGCAGCCUGAUGGCCCCUCUCGGCAAACGGCUGAGAGCAAACACUCCUGUGGCCGCUGUGGUGACCAGACAUACCUGCUCUCUGACACGGAUGGAGAUGACAGAGCUCCAGGAGGGCCUGGAGGUCAGCGUGCUCUCCGCUCUCCUGCCGCUUGGAAACUUCUGUCCGUAUCGCUUAGAGUCACUGAGGGAACCAGAACACUGCGCAAGCUCCGUUCAGGCGGAAGAGCCUUCGCACAAGGUUGCCAUGGACCAGGCGGUGAUGGCCUUUGUAAAGGCG
ensembl:lncRNA